CGUGUAGGCUGUGAUGCAUGUCGGGUGUGAAAGCCCUCGGCUUAACCGAGGAAGUGCGCCCGAAACUGCAUCGCUGGAGUGCCGGAGAGGGUGGCGGAAUUCCCGGUGUAGAGGUGAAAUUCGUAGAUAUCGGGAGGAACACCAGUGGCGAAGGCGGCCACCUGGACGGACACUGACGCUGAGACGCGAAAGCGUGGGGAUCAAACA
rnacentral:rRNA from 1 species